rnacentral:rRNA from 1 species
CAGCAGCCGCGGUAAUACGGAGGGUGCAAGCGUUAAUCGGAAUUACUGGGCGUAAAGCGCACGCAGGCGGUCUGUCAAGUCAGAUGUGAAAUCCCCGGGCUUAACCUGGGAACUGCAUUUGAAACUGGCAGGCUAGAGUCUUGUAGAGGGGGGUAGAAUUCCAGGUGUAGCGGUGAAAUGCGUAGAGAUCUGGAGGAAUACCGGUGGCGAAGGCGGCCCCCUGGACAAAGACUGACGCUCAGGUGCGAAAGCGUGGGGAGCAAACAGGAUUAGAGACCCCAGUAGUCCCUGUCUCUUAUAA